rnacentral:lncRNA from 1 species
CACAGCAAGAAGGCAGCCGUCUACAUGCCAGGAAGAGAGCCCUUAACAGGAACUGACCCUGCCAGACCUUUACCUGCAGCUUCCAGCCAAAAGAACUAUCAGAUUUAUUUGGAGAAAACAGAAAUCCCACAACCCAAAGGAUGGGAUUUUACAUCAAGACAUCUCCCAGCUCUAUAAAUGGACUGCAGUACAGCUGACCUUGGACAGGCUUAUUUGGGCCUAACUGGGUUCUAAGCUUUCUGCUGGGUUCAGCUCUUUGUACUUCAGGCAACAACACCUGAGAGGAUUUUUCUGGCAGGCGAAAAAAUGUUUGCAAUGACUUUGAUGAUACGGUGACUGAGGUGUAUUUAUCCUUAGGUGCAUAAGCAAUGGCACACAACCAAAGACUGGCUGCUACCUUCACAUUCCUUCUAAAGGGGCUAAAAGGAAGAAGUAUGGAAAAAUGUAUCCACUCAAGUAGAAAUUUUAUAUUGAGUGUGCAGUUUUGAUUUUGAAUGUCUGAUUUUGUUUGUAGGCCAAAAAAGACUGUGAUUCCA